rnacentral:rRNA from 1 species
GACGAACGCUGGCGGCGUGCUUAACACAUGCAAGUCGAACGGAAAGGCCCUGCUUUUGUGGGGUGCUCGAGUGGCGAACGGGUGAGUAACACGUGAGUAACCUGCCCUUGACUUUGGGAUAACUUCAGGAAACUGGGGCUAAUACCGGAUAGGAGCUCCUGCUGCAUGGUGGGGGUUGGAAAGUUUCGGCGGUUGGGGAUGGACUCGCGGCUUAUCAGCUUGUUGGUGGGGUAGUGGCUUACCAAGGCUUUGACGGGUAGCCGGCCUGAGAGGGUGACCGGCGACCAUGGGCCGAAGAGAGGGAACAGUCGGGAACGGGAGACAACAGAGGCGAAUCUGGCGCCAUGGGCGGAAGGCUGAUACAGGGGUGUUGCGAGGGGGAUGCCGGGGUUGGGGUUGGGAAGGGCUUUAAGAUGUGACCAAGCGUGAUUGACGGUACCGGCUAAAGAAGCAACGGCUAAGUACGUG